rnacentral:misc_RNA from 1 species
AAAUAGUAGUGAAGAAGCAGAUGAAACUCCUUAUGUGUUGUCUAGUACAAGUGAUGGAUCUAGUGCUCAUCAACAACAUUCUCAAACUAAUAAUAAGAAAAGAAGGAAAUUACCUGGAAAUCCUGAUCCUAGUGCUGAAGUUAUUGCGUUAUCACCAAAAACACUAAUGGCAACAAACAGGUUCAUCUGUGAAGUAUGCAAUAAAGGCUUCCAAAGGGAACAAAAUCUUCAACUACACAGGAGAGGACAUAAUUUACCAUGGAAACUAAAGCAAAAAACAAGCAAUGAGAUUAAAAAACGCGUUUAUAUUUGCCCAGAAAGUUCGUGCAUUCAUCAUAAUCCUUCUCGUGCUCUUGGAGAUCUUACGGGGAUUAAGAAACAUUUUUCUCGUAAACAUGGUGAAAAGAAAUGGAAAUGUGAAAAGUGCUCUAAAAAAUAUGCAGUGCAAUCUGACUGGAAAGCUCAUUCGAAAACCUGUGGCACAAAAGAGUAUAAAUGUGACUGUGGUACAAUCUUCUCCAGGAGGGAUAGCUUUGUGACUCAUAGAGCCUUUUGUGAUGCUCUAGCUGAAGAAAACAACAAAGUAAACCAAGUUUUAGCUUCAACCACACAACCUUUAGCCACUGGCCCUGAACUUAUUUCAACUACUCAAAUGUUGAACUUGCCACAAAUCAGAAAUUCAAACAUGAAAAUUCCUUCAAUACCCUUAAACAUGGCAGGAAGCAUGUUUUCCUCUUCUUCUGGAUUUAAUCAGCUAGGAACAAAUUCGUCGAAUAUGUCAUCAGCAACAGCGUUGUUACAACAGGCAGCUCAAAUGGGUGCAACAGUGAACAAUAA